rnacentral:misc_RNA from 1 species
CUAGCGCACAAUCACCCUCUCCUCCAUGGCUGCCACCACCAUGGCCCUCUCCUCCCCAUCUCUCGCAGGGAAGGCCCUCAGGCUUGCCCCCGAGAUUCUGGGGGAGGGUCGUGUCACCAUGCGUAAGACCGCCGGAAAGCCCAAACCCGUCUCCUCUGGCAGCCCGUGGUACGGCCCUGACCGUGUCAAGUACCUCGGCCCCUUCUCUGGCGAGGCCCCCUCCUACCUCACUGGCGAGUUCCCCGGUGACUAUGGCUGGGACACUGCCGGCCUCUCCGCCGACCCCGAG